rnacentral:rRNA from 1 species
CCUACGGGAGGCAGCAGUGAGGAAUAUUGGUCAAUGGACGAGAGUCUGAACCAGCCAAGUAGCGUGAAGGAUGACUGCCCUAUGGGUUGUAAACUUCUUUUAUAAGGGAAUAAAACGCGGCACGUGUGCCUUUUUGCAUGUCCUUUAUGAAUCAGGCUCGGCUAACUCCGUGCCAGCAGCCGCGGUAAUCCGGAGUAUACGAGCGUUAUCCGGAUUUAUUGGGUUUAAAGGGAGCGUAGAUGGGUUGUUAAGUCAGUUGUGAAAGUUUGCGGCUCAACCGUAAAAUUGCAAUUGAUACUGGCAGUCUGGAGUACAGGUGAGGUAGGCGGAAUUCGUGGUGUAGCGGUGAAAUGCGUAGAUAUCACGAAGAACCCCGAUUGCGAAGGCAGCUUACUAAACUGUGACUGACAUUGAGGCUCGAAAGUGUGGGGAGCAAACAGGAUUAGAUACCCCAGUAGUC